GGGAAGGUAGCUCAGAGGUAGAGUGCAUGCUUUGCAAGCAUGAGGCCCUGGGUUUGAUUCCUCAACACCA
rnacentral:tRNA from 1 species